UUCCGGUUUUUCCUGCCGGAGGUCACUGCUAUUAGGAUUCGACUAAGCCAUGCGAGUCGAGAGGGUUCGGCCCUCGGCUGACGGCUCAGUAACACGUGGAUAAUCUGCCCUUAGGUGGAGGAUAAUCUCGGGAAACUGAGGAUAAUACUCCAUAGAUCUAGGAUGCUGGAAUGCAUCUAGAUUGAAAGCUCCGGCGCCUAAGGAUGAGUCUGCGGACUAUCAGGUUGUAGUCAGGGUAAAGACCUGACUAGCCUACGACGGAUACGGGUUGUGAGAGCAAUAACCCGGAGACGAUAUCUGAGACACGAUAUCGGGCCCUACGGGGCGCAGCAGGCGCGAAAACUUCACACUGUGCGAAAGCGCGAUGAGGGAAUCCCAAGUGUUUGCUCGUGGGAGUAAACUGUUUCUUUGUUUAAAACGCAGAGAGAGUAAGGGCUGGGUAAGACGGGUGCCAGCCGCCGCGGUAAUACCUGCAGCUCAAGUGGUGAUCAUUAUUAUUGGGCCUAAAACGUCCGUAGCCGGUUUAGUAAAUGCCUGGGUAAAUCGUGUAGCUUAACUAUACGACUUCCGGGUAGACUACUAAACUUGAGACCGGGAGGGGCUAGAGGUACUCCUGGGGUAGAGGUGAAAUUCUGUAAUCCUAGGGGGACCACCAGUGGCGAAGGCGUCUAGCUAGAACGGGUCUGACGGUGAGGGACGAAGCCCUGGGGCACAAACCGGAUUAGAUACCCGGGUAGUCCAGGGUGUAAACGCUGCUUGCUUGAUGUUAGUUGGGCUCCGAGCCCAACUAGUGUCGGAGAGAAGUUGUUAAGCAAGCUGCCUGGGAAGUACGGUCGCAAGGCUGAAACUUAAAGGAAUUGGCGGGAGAGCACCGCAACGGGAGGAGCGUGCGGUUCAAUUGGAUUCAACGCCGGAAAACUCACCGGGGGCGACGGUUACAUGAAGGUCAAGCUGAUGACUUUACCUGAUUUUCCGAGAGGUGGUGCAUGGCCGUCGUCAGUUCGUACCGUAAGGCGUUCU
rnacentral:rRNA from 1 species